rnacentral:miRNA from 1 species
UCCUUGUUUGGGUUGUAAUGA